UCUGACCACCAAUCCAUAGACACCUCCAGUGGGAAGGACUCAGACACGUUCCUCGAAGAGGUCUGAAACAGUGCUGAGGGACCCAAAAGAACAUUUCUGAUCCGGAGUUAAACAUAACAGAGCUCUAAACGUGAUGCCACCAACAUCCGGCGGUUACCCAGACGAAGCCUGACGAAGAUGGCAGUGACGUCGAAAUAUGUCGGCAAAGAACUUGAGCUGCGUGACUUUCAUGGCGUAUUUGUGCCUAACGCUGGUGUGGAAUCCCCACGGAACCAAGAUGCCUCAAUGUGACAAUCAUACUACCAUGACCAUUACUAGUGACUGUGCCAAAUAGAUUACUAAUGAGGAAGGCAAAGGACAAGAAAGGUGAGGAUGGAGGGUGGAAGAUGUUUGCCUCUAGAAAUUAUGUUUUAGUGACAGAGUUGUGAUUAGAGAGGUAUUUAUAUUUUAAAAAACAUGAAAAAUGUUUUAGUCAACUAAAACAACUCUACAAUUACUACAAAAUAGUCAUCUUUUCUGCUUUGUUUAGUUUUUUGCUAUUUUGUUGCAACAUUUUCCCUUUCAAUUAAUUUUCUCUCUCUUCAGGUUUGUUUAGUAUGGGGUGCUGAUUGCAAAGUAUUAC